rnacentral:lncRNA from 1 species
GGAGAGGAAAAUCGAUGGCAGGCAACACGGCAGCGUUUAAAGUCUUUGCAAUAUGCAACAACAUCGCGCUGUUCACUUCAUUGUGCAUCGUUAUUCUUCUCGUUAGCAUUAUACCUUACAAGAGGAAACCCUUGAAGAGAUUACUGGUGGCCACGCACAGGAUGAUGUGGGUUUCUGUAGGGUUCAUGGCAACUGCUUAUGUUGCAGCGUCUUGGGUGACCAUACCACAUUUUCAUCAAACAAAAUGGUUAUUUCCCGCCAUUGUUUCCGUUGCUGGUGGAUCUUUGGUGGUACUCUUUUCCUAUCUUGGAGUUGAGACCAUUGGUCAUUGGUUUAAAAAGAUGAACCGUGUAAGAGAUAUACCUCCCAUUGCAAGUACCAGCCCAGAUCAUCCCAAUGUGCCUUCCUUUGCAAGGACCAACUCUGAUUUAGCCGCCUCGGAAAAGUCGGGCUAUUUCACCUAUUGAAUCUUUGGGAACUUCCCACCACCUAUGAUCAAGACCGGUCAGAGAAGGACUGACAGAGAACGGAAGCGCUGCUUAAGUAAUUUGAUGUAGCAUACAUCUCCUAUUACAAGCUGGCUUUGCUUUAUGUUUUCAUUUUCACUUAAUUUCCUUUUCUUAAUUGGCUUUUUACUUAUUUGUCUUACUUCUUUUAGGAUUAUAAGUCUCGUACUAGAUUUUGAUUCGCGCUUCAAAAGUACGGGUUUUCUUGGAUUAUAAAUAAAAUUUGAAGUUUUUCAAAAAAAAAUUGAUAUAAAUUAUUAUUUUGAGAUUAUACAUUAUUAAGUUAUAAAGUGAAGCAGGGAAUUUGCUUAAAAUUAUAUAAUUUAUGAAGUAGUUUGUUUGAGAUUUUGUAUAUCCAUUUGUAUAUAUAUAUGCAACUCUUUCUUAGGUCUGAACAUUUUAUCCGGAUCCAAUAAAGUCAACCAAAACCAAUCCAAAAAUAUAGAAUUUGUUUGGGUUUUGAUCCAGUGUAAAGUAUCUAUUGGAUAGUUUUUUGACCUGUAGGUCUUGGUUUGGGUCAGAAUCCUACUGAGACCCGAUUAGGAUACUCAAAACACCUUGAAAAUUUUGUGUGUAUUAGGUAGAUUUGGGUAGUUCAUAUAUAUUUUUGGAAUCAUAGAUAUUCUUUUAAAUUUUAGGUCUGAUUUUUCCGUUAGAGUUUCGAGUUUCAAAUAAAAUUUCAAAAUUUUAAGAUAUAUUUCAAAUAUUUGAAUAAACUAUUGGUAUUUUUUUGGUUAGAUUUGGGGUAAAAUUUAGGGGCUUUUCAGAUAUUUAAAUUUUAUAGAAUUUUUUGGAUUUUGGAUAUUUGUUCAGGUUUUAGAUAUUUUCGAAUUUUCUGAUAUCUAGACUUGUUACAUAUCCAAAAAUUAAAAGUAUUUUAUAGAUAUUUGAACUAAACCAACUCAUACCACAUGGUAUCAUCAUUUAUACUCAUCUAGGAGUUUCUAAUAUUUGGAUACUAAAGACAAAGGAUACAUCACCUACUAUGAGAAUUUGUAACUUAAAAUAUUUAAAAAUGAGAAAUUAUUAAUUCAAAGUGUCAUUUUCAGUUAGAUGCUUAGGUUUUUAGUUUUAAGUUUACUUACAAAAAUUAAUCUUUAUUUUUGAAUUUGAAUUUUUGGUUUCUUAAGUUUUCAAGGACUCUUGCCCACUUUAGAGACAUACGUAACGUAGAAAGUGUUAAUAAAAGUCUAUCAAAAUUUAGCUAAUCAUAUUAAAAUUAUAUUUAUUUUUGCAAAUUUGAAAAUAAUUGUUAAAUAAAUACUGGAAGAUUUAUGGCUUGACAAAUUUAUAGUAAUACAGUUGAAGAUAAUAAAUAUUGUUAGAUAUAAAAAAAAGGGGCAUAUGUUGUAAAAAAAUUGUAACACUUUGUUUUUUUCAUAUAAUAAAAAAAUUUUAAAUGCGCAAAAGGUACCAAAAUUUGUAGAUGUCUUUGUUGAAUAAAUAUUAGAGAGAAUUGCCAAGUGUGACUCAAAACUUGGAGUCAAACCCAAAAUAAUAACCCAACUUGGGUCAAAGGCAAAAGUAACCUAAAAGGCUAUUGAAAUUACAACUAUCCCCUUGUGACCAAACAAGAAAACGGAUUUUUUUUUACGUUUCUACCCCUCGCAAGUCGUCUGUUUAGACGACUUGAAAAUAAGUCGUCCAGACGACUUAACUGAAAGUCGUCUGGACAGUUAGUCUUAAACAUAAUUUAAAAAUUUUGUAAAAAAUAUUUUGAUAAGUGAAAAAUGGGAAUUAUGUAAUUAACAUAUGUCUUAGGAGGUAUAAAUUAAGAUAUAACAAAUUUCAAUUGUUUUCAGCAUAGAUGAGUGAAAGUAGUGAGUCAUGAUAUUCUUUAGUUUAUGUUUCAUCAACAUAUGUUGUAGUAUUGUAUGUGUUCUUAGGGUUAGAUUUUGGAAAGCAUUAAAACCGUUUUUGAAAUUUUUGGCGGGAACAUGCGUUUUUGUAAUUUUGGCGGGAAAAUGCGUUUUUCCGGUUCUGGGGGGAAAAAGUAUUUUUGCGAUUUUGGCGACAAAGUGUGUUUUUAUGGUUUUAGCAGGAACGUAUGUUUUUCGGUUUUUGUGCGAUUUUACGUUUUUGGCGAGAAAUUGUGUUUUUAUCCUAUUGGUCAAAAAGUGUGGUUUUACUGGUUUGGCCGAAAAGUGCGGUUCUAUGGAAAUGUGUGUGUUUUACGCUUUUUUGCGGAAAAUCGUAUUUUUGCGAUGUUAGCGGAAAAGUGUGUUUUUUCAGUUUUGGCAAGAAAAUGCAUUUUUCGGUUCUGGCGGAAAAAUGUAUAUGGAAAAAUAUAUAAUUUUGGUUUGAAAAUAAUAUUUUGAUUAAAAAAAUUAUUUUGUUAUUUAUCAUUUUGGACUGAACUAGAUGCAUCAUCAAGAUUCACCCUCAUUUGGAUGAGAAUUUGAGAUGAGUUUUUAAAAAAUUAGCUGGGUGGGUCCAUCUGGAUGUAGCAUUAUAAUGCACAAAACGAACAUCAAUUUGCAUCUUCACCCAGAUGGAUCACCUGGGUGAGCAAACGAACAGCUCCUUAAGAUUUCAAUUUUAGUUCUGUCACGUCAAAAAUGUAUGAAGAUGAACUAUUUUUUCGUGGAAAAGACAAGGAAAGAAAAAAAGAAACAGUGAAAUUAACGUGUUUUAGUCUGAAAGCAUAUGGCUAUUGUGGAAAUAUAUUGGCCAGAAAGUCAAGAAAAGUGAAGGUUCAAUCAACAUCACACCAGAAGCCAAAACUAAAUGUCAAUUCGAAUUUAUGUAUUUUUGUUAUUGUAAACGUCAACUCUCUUAUAGUCUAUGCUAAGUCACUAUAAAGAGACAUAACCACACUCGGGACCUCCCUCGCUGAUUAAACUUUUGCUUUAGCUAGCAAGUGUUCUUGAGGAAAGAUGCAGCCCAUCUUCAAUGCGAUCAUUCAGAACGACAUUCCAGCUUUUCUGGGGUUGGUGGAAGAGAAAGAAUCGUGGCUGGAGGAGAGAAACGUGGACCAAGACAACAGCACGGUGUUGCACAUGGCUGCGAAGCAUGGGCAUGGAGAACUUGUCUCCAAGAUUAUUGAGCUCAAACCUUCCCUCAUCUUUUCCCGCAACGCACACGGAAACACACCGUUGCAUCUCGCUGCUCUCCUCGGAGACGUGAACACAGUUAGGACGUUGUUAGAGUUUGGAUCGGAAACGUGUUCCGCACGGAACAACAACUGCCAAACACCCCUCCAUUUAGUUUGCCGCAGCAUUUCCACGGAGUCUGCCAGAUUAUUUGCGGAAAAGACACAUUCUGUCAGCCUCGAUGAACUCAAAUUUUCCAUAUCAAGUGGAUCAACAUGUAAGUUUCUUGUGCUCAACAUUUUUUGUGAUCUAAAAAGCCCUUUUUUUAAUUAAAAAAAAACAUUUUUUGUGAUCUUUGUAUAUAUAAACUCACUGGCCCACUGUUGUAUUCGGACCAUUGUCAGUUGUUACAAGGAUAGUGCUGGAGAGAUUCCCAUACCUAGCUAGGGAAUUAGCGUGGGUGGUGGAAGACUCGCUAACGACGCUAUUGCAUCACGCGUGUGAUAGAGGAAACCUUGAACUGAUAAGUAUAUUACUAGGGCUCGAUCAAGGAUUAGAAAAAGCUCGUAACACCAAUGGUUUAUCGCCUUUGCAUCUGGCGGUCCUGAGAGGCCCGGUUGUUGUCCUAGAAGAGUUCCUGGAAAAGGCUCCAUUGUCCUUCAGCUCUCUCACGCGAUCGAAGGAGACUGUCUUUCAUCUCGCUGCACGAAACAAAAACGUAGAUGCCUUCAUUUUCAUGGCAGAGAGACUGAGCAUUAACAACCAAAAACUUAUGCGGGAAGUAGAUGUUAAUGGUAAUACGGUCUUACAUAUCGCGGUUUCCAUGUCUUGUGGUGCUCGGGUGAGUAGUUUUCUAUGUCGUUGUCAACUUUAUAAUAAAAGUAAAAAUCACCAAAUCUUGUUCUAGCUUAUAUACGCAAUCACUGCGGUAGACCAGUCAAACCCUUAUUAUCAUGUUAGCUAUACCGAAGAAAAUGAAAAACAAAAUCAAAUUUGCCUCAUAUAUAAUUUCUUGUGUUCACAAAUCUUUUUGGUGGUGUCUGCUCUGACAUAUUUCUUAUUGAACAAAUUGUAGCUGCUACGAUACAUUGUUGGUAAGAAGAUAAUAGAUAUCAACUAUAAGAACAAUAUGGGUUUUACAGCUUUCGACCUUCUCACUCAAGAAGGCGAAGACUUUGAGUUAUUAUCAACAUCAACCUUGCUGAGGUUGGAUACCAAGCUGGAUUCUGAUCAGACCAUUGAAAAACAAGAUGAGCACUCUAAUCCAUACAAUAAACGAUCUCAAGAAGGCGUUGAAUCUUUAGAUAUCCCUGGAAGCUCAAAAGAGAACGAGGUAAUACGGUUGCUUAGGUUAAUCGAAACGAACACAUCUAAUAUAGCACAUAUAAAACGAAACAAGAAAGGGGCAGUUGAAAGAGGUCGUAGAAGCUUGGAACGUGAGAUGCAUAUAGAAGCAUUACAAAAUGCAAGAAAUACGAUUGCUAUUGUGGCAGUUCUGAUUGCUUCAGUUUCUUAUGCGGGUGGGAUUAACCCUCCAGGCGGCGUCUACGAUGAUGGGCCAUGGAGAGGAAAAUCGAUGGCAGGCAACACGGCAGCGUUUAAAGUCUUUGCAAUAUGCAACAACAUCGCGCUGUUCACUUCAUUGUGCAUCGUUAUUCUUCUCGUUAGCAUUAUACCUUACAAGAGGAAACCCUUGAAGAGAUUACUGGUGGCCACGCACAGGAUGAUGUGGGUUUCUGUAGGGUUCAUGGCAACUGCUUAUGUUGCAGCGUCUUGGGUGACCAUACCACAUUUUCAUCA